rnacentral:tRNA from 1 species
ACCCUAUUAGUAAAAUUAGAUUAUAUUAUCUUGAUAAGGUAAAGUUCCUUAGGAUAGGGUA